rnacentral:lncRNA from 1 species
AUGGAGGCGAGGGACUGCCCGGCCUUCCCCCCGGGCCGCCGGGCCGAGCCCCCCCCGGGGCCACCGCGGACCCCCGGCCCCUUCGUGGCCGGGCUGCCGGGACCCCCCCGGCACCCGCCGCCGCUCAGCCCCCACUGCCCGCCGGACAAGGCAGAGCCCCGGUACCUGGGGGCCGCCGGCCCGGGCCCCCUCGCCGCGGCCGUCAGUGGGAAGCCCUUCUACCCGGCCGGGGCUGCAGGUACCGGGGCUUGCGGGGCGGAGGUGGGAGCCGGGGCCGUUCCUCCCCCACCCCUUUCCUUUCCUCCUUUCUGCCCCCGCACGGAGCCCGAUCCUGCCGUCGGCCCCGGGGAUGCGCCGGGCGGGCUGCCCUCGGUGCCUCCGGGCCCCCUCCCCGCCGACACGCUCCCGCUGUCGCGACACGGCCCCGUUAGAGCACAGACCGCCACGGCCCGGGCGGCCUCGACCCCGGCACGCCCGAGGGGAGCGGGGAUCCCGGGCAGGGCGGCGGGGCCGGGAGCGGCGCGAGCUCAAGCUACGGGGGUGGAAAAGCGGCCCCGUCCCUCGGGGGGAUGCGUCCGGCCGCCGCCCGGGCCCGGCCUCACCGGCAGCCGACGGCAGCUCCCGGGCCGGGAGCGGCGGGGUCCCGGCGGGUCCGGGGGUCCCGGCGGGCCCGGGGGUCCCGGCUCGGGGCCGCCGCCAGGCUCAGGCAGGACGCGGCGCUUCCCCCGGGCGCUCCUCGUCGUUCCCCGGUCUCCACCGGCCGGGCAGCGCCCCGGGCCCGCUCCUCUCCUCGCUCUUUCCCUCCCGGACGAGGCCGUCGGAGACCGCCGAGGGCUCCGGUUCAUCCCGUCCCGCGGGCCUUUUAUGUCCCCGUUCGCUUUAAUAGACCCCCCCCCCAAAAAAGAGGCAGCACCGCAGUGUAAUGGGAACCAGGUGGGGCUCGGCACAACAGGUAGAGAAAGCCUCGGGGCACCGGGGACCCCCCCGCCACCCCCCGGGCCGGGCCGUACCGGGGCCGCGCUUACCUGCUCCGGGUGCCGGCGGCCGCGCUCUCUCCCCCGGUUCCCGGGAGCCCUUCCCGUGCCCCGUCCCUUCGCUAAUGAUCCCUCUGAGCGCUCCUUUCCCCUCCCGGUUCACCCAAUAACCGUGCAGCUGCUCCCCAGCUGCCGCUUCCCCAGCGCCGCAGAAUUGGUCAGGGGGUGUCGGUUUGGGGGUCUCUGUACCUUCCCUUUUUCCCAUCCUCUUUGUCCCCCUGCGACUCUGUUUAUUUAG